rnacentral:rRNA from 1 species
CCUACGGGAGGCAGCAGUGGGGAAUAUUGCACAAUGGGCGAAAGCCUGACGCAGUAACGCCGCGUGAGCGAAGAAGGCUUUCGGGUCGUAAACCUCUGUCCUCAAGGAAGAUACUGAUGGCACUUGAUGAGGAAGCCCCGCCUAACUACGUGCCAGCAGCCGCGGUGAUACGUAGGGGGUUAGAGUCGUCCGGAAUUACUGGGCGAAAGGGGGGCGAAGGUGGUUGCUUAAGUCAGAGGUGAAAGGCUAGGGCUAAACCGUAGUAAGCCUUUGAAUGUGGGGAACUUGAGUGCAGGUGAGGAGAGUGGAAUUCGUAGUGUAGCGGUGAAAUGCGUAGAUAUUAGGAAGAACACCAGUUGCGAAGGCGGCUCUCUAAACUGUAACUGACACUGAGGCACGAAAGCGUGGGGAGCAAACAGGAUUAGAUACCCCAGUAGUC